CCCAGAAAAGGCAGUUGGAGCUAGCCAGAGGAGAUGAACUGAGAUUUUUUGUCCUCUGAGUCUACUGACCAAAGAAACUAAACCUCUUCUCUGGGGGUUACUGACCAAGGGACAGACUUCCUUGGCUUCUGGAUGAAGGGGGAAGAAGCUGAGAACUGAUCUCUGUUAGCUUCUGUCCCAGGUUGAAGGACCCUGGGGGGGGGUGCUUCUGGAAUUAGGCUGUGAAGAAAUUAACUUUUGUUAGUGGCUUUGUGUAAUUGGAUGAAGAAAGAAGAAUAAACAGUCGUCCUCCAUCUCUCUGACUGUCCCUGAGUCACAGUUGUGAAAGGAUUGACAAUCUCCAUAAUCCUCCUAAUUCUUCUAAUAGAUUAGGGACAAACCUCAUCCCUCUCACCUCAAUCCCAUUCCUAUUGUUCCCAAUAAAACCCCUUUACUUGAGAAAGGAAAAGAAAGGAGUUUUUUCCAUAUAAAUCUCACAGUCCACUCAGGGAGGAGGAGUGAAGUCAAAAGGCUUCAAGAAGAAGGUGGUUAAGGGAGGUGAAGGGAGGAAGAGGGUAGGAAAUAUCUUUAUCUUAUUAGCCAUUAGUGAUCAAUAGGCAACCCCAGAAUACACCAGAGUAACCCCUCUAGCAGCAUCUCUAUAUCCCUCAUUAUCUCUCUUCUAUCUCCAUUAUAACAACUAGGCACCACCAGGUUUCCCCUAGCAUCUCUCUGGUCACAAGCCAGAGUAUAUUCCAUUUACCACAACCUCCACUUUUCUCUGAUUAGAGGGUUGGAGCAUGCAAUACCUAACCUCUCUUAAUACCUUCCUUUGUAGAGGGCAGAAACUGGACUUUUGGGCUCAUUCCUUCUUCAUUUGCUGCUUUGCCUUGUUUCAGUUCCAUAGAACAAGAUACAACCAGGUUUAGAAGACCAUAGCUUUAAAGCUUUAAGAGACUUUAGAGACCAUCCAGUUGAGCCCUUUCAUUUCACAUAUAAAGAGAUGGAAGCUCAGAGAGAUUAAGUGAUUUGCUUAGGGUCAAAUGGUAAGUGCCCAACUCCAGAUUUUCCUAAAUCUAAGCCAGAUACUGUAUAUAAGUGAUGGUGAAACUUUUAGAGACUAAGUGCCCAAACUGUCACCUCGUGCCACAAGUGAGCUUCCCCCUUAGCCCAGAUAGGGGAAGAAGGAAGCGUUCCCAUUGGGCUAGUAGGCAGAAGGGUGGGUGAUGUCCUCAGGUGUGAUGGAGAGGGGGAAGGGAGCAUAAAUGCCAUAGCUCUGCCAACAUGGCUCUAUACAUUACCCUGUGUCCAUUUUGAGGGAAAUUUUCUCAUGGAUGGAGAAGAAAGGGGCCAAAGCUAGAAGAAGCAGAAGAUUGAAGGUGGAAUGAUAGAAAAUACAGUUGUCACCUGCACUAUCCACCUGAGUAAUACUCUGCAGAACAUUAAAUAUAAAAUGGCACUUUAAAUUUAAUAGACAUUUCUAAAUGCUAAUAAAUAAAUAAUAGCAAUAGUGACUUGACCA
rnacentral:lncRNA from 1 species